GGGGGUGUGGUGAAAAUAGCAGCCACGCGCGAUUAGGAAUCGUGUGAGCCGUCCAUGUCAAGGGUUGCGGCUCGUGCGGGUGCAAGCCCCGUCACCCCCA
rnacentral:tRNA from 1 species